UCCCAUUUUUGGGUAAGAAAAGAAAAAUUGUCGGUCAAUUAGGAUGGCGAGGACUAUAGUUUGUGUGUUUUCUUCUUUUCUGGAUUCAAAGUGAUCCUUCUGUUCUAGAGCAUAAGUGUGGAUAUGGGCCUCAAUCUGGUCAUUGCCCUAAAUUUGCUUUCUCCUUGCUCACAUUGUACACCUACGUGAAAAAAAAUCAUUUAUUUCCUGUGAACUGCUCCUAUGUAACUAAUAGUGUUAUUUAUUUAGCAAAUACUGCAACUUUUAUUUUUUACUGCUGCUGGGCUUGGGGUAAAGCACAACUAUUCCCAGAGUCACAACUUCUCCCAUCAAUUGUGCUAUGAAUCCAUGUAUACAGUACCUUUCACUGAAUUCUGUACCUGGAAUGUUGACAUUCAUGUUCUGUUUGACUUCCAGAUUUCUUUCUAUGUUAAUCUCCUUGAAGUUGUUAUCCUAAACUGAUGAGAGGACCUCAGUCGAUUAUAUACUGGUUCCUGUGUGAAACAAAAAUAUGAUUGCGUUCUCUUAAAAGAUUACUAAAUCAAGUUAAUCCUGUCACUAUGUCUAUUAUAGGGUGACUGGGUCCCUGUUAUUACUAAAUCAAGUUAAUCAUGUUUCUAUGUCUAUUAUAGGGUGACUGGGUCUCUGUUGUGGUAGAUGAUUGGAUUCCAUACGAGUCACCUGGUAAACCAGCAUUUUCCACUAGUAGGAAGGGUAAUGAAAUGUGUCUCCUUGUUAGAAAAAGCUUAUGCAAAGCUUCACUGCUCAUAUGAGGCAUUAGAGGGUGGACUUGUACAAAAUGCUCUUGUAGACCUCACCGGAGGUUCUGGGGAGGAGAUUGACAUGAGAAGUGCCGAGGCACAGAUUGAUCUGACAAGUGGAAGACUCUGGUCUCAGCUGCUGCGCUUCAAACAAGAGGGUUUCCUACUAGGAGCUGGUAGCCCUUCAGGUUCAUGCCUAUUCAAUAUUACAGGUACGAGAAGUUGAUGGCCACAAGCUUGUUCAGAUUCAGAAUCCAUGGGAAAAUGAAGUUGAAUGGAAUGGUCCUUUGGUCUGAUCCAUCACCUGAGUGGACCGACAGGAUGAAACACAAGAUUAAACCUGUCCCACAGGCAAACGAUGGAAUUUUUUGGAUGUCUUGGCAAAAUUUCCAAAUACGUUUUAGGUCUAUAUAUGUUUGUCGUGUCUACCCACCAGAGAUGAUCUACUCAAUCCAUGGUCAAUGGAGAGGUUACAGCACUGGAGGUUGCUAGGAUUAUGACACAUGGCAUCAAAAUCCCUAAUAUCAACUAAGAGCAAGUGGUCCUGAUGCUUCCUUGCCCAUUCAUGUAUUUAUCACCUUAACUCAGGGUGUGAGCUUCUCAAGGACUACAGCUGGUUUCAGGAAUUAUCAAUCAAGCCAUGAUUCACUAAUGUUCUAUAUUGGGAUGAGGAUACUGAAAACUCGUGGUAGACAUGCUGAAUAUAACAUCUAUUUGCAUGAAUCUGUUAGUGGGACAGACUAUGUAAAUUCUCAAGAGAUAUCAUGUGAGAUGGUCCUAGAUCCUGAUCCGAAGGGUUAUACAAUAGUGCCUACUAUAAUACAUCCUGGUGAAGAGGCGCCUUUUGUUCUCUCCGUUUUUACUAAAGCUUUAAUAAGUCUUGAAACUUUAUAAUUUUGCAUGGAUGGCCCAUUUGGUUUGGGUUUGAGUUUGGUCAUCACUUGUGGGUCCUAAGCAUCUCCCCAAAGGGAUUCUGCACGGACUAUCCCCAAUCAUUCACACGUGUCUGAGAGCUGGUUGAACGUUGCAGUAAAAAAGCUCGGCAUAGAAAGAGGAGAAAGGAUGGUCUGUCCUUUGCGAAUAGAUGAAGCAAGCUGUCUUAUUCUGGGAAGUCCAUGGUUGCUAAAUGUCAUUUCUGCAUGGGUGCUGGAAGUUUCUAAAGCCAAUAGAAGGAAGAUGGUCCAUUGAUUCAAGUCUUCAGCUCUGAACAUGGUCUCGAAGAGGGUUCUCGGGGAUUAGAAUACUGUACAUGAGUAGAUGUAAGAAAAUAGGAUUUAGUUAUGUAAAUGAGGGUUAACAAAAAGGAAUAGAUGAAAAAAAUAGGAAUAGAUGUGAGGGAUGCGCUACUGGAUGCAUGUUGUGUAGUCCACCAUAUGGCUGAAAUAUCAAUUGAAGUUUCAGCAUCAGUUUUGAAGUACUUGUAGACAUCACUUCAUUAAUUGUAAAAACCAAACAUUCUUACAUCAAUGGAAUUAACUAACACCUUUCUACAAUCUUC